GAGGAGCCACUUUAACGAAGGACUUUGUCACCGGUGGAAUUGCGAGAGGAGUUGCGCAACCGCGGUGCACCUAGAGGGCCGGCCCAGAAGAGGACCCACGACUGACUGCAUCGCAUAGCCGGUCGAGGUCGAGGUCCCGGUGAACUCCUCGGUCGAGGAAGCAUCGCCCCGGAUGCGGAGGGGUCGCAGCCCUGGCACGGGGCCGGGGCCCUCGGCGCCGUCGCCGACCUCGGCGACCUAAGGUCGAGGUCAGGAGCUGGGAGAGAGACGAUGGCCACCUCGGUGGAGGCGGCCACGACGAGUCCGCCCGGGGCCCCGGAGAGCUCGAGCCUGUACUCGUGGUCGAGCGAGGUCCCCUCCGGGAACGGGAGCGAGGUCGAGGUCGCGCCCGGCCUGGAGGGCUCGGAGGACUGGCCAGGGGUUCCCCUGGCCGUGCUGAAGGGGUGCAUCCUGGGGCUGAUCAUCGCGACCGCCAUCUUCGGGAAUCUGCUGGUGAUGGUGUCGGUGAUGCGGCACCGGAAGCUGCGCAUCAUCACCAACUACUUCGUGGUGUCGCUGGCGCUGGCCGACAUGUUGGUGGCGAUGUUCGCGAUGACGUUCAACGCGAGCGUCCAGGUGACCGGGCGUUGGUUGUUCGGUUACUUCAUGUGCGACGUGUGGAACUCGCUGGACGUCUACUUCAGCACGAGCUCGAUCCUGCACCUGAUGUGCAUCUCGGUGGACAGGUACUACGCGAUAGUGAAGCCGCUGAAGUACCGGGGGAACAUGACGAAGAGGGUGGUGGCGUACAUGCUGCUGGCCUGCUGGCUGUCGCCGGCGAUCAUCUCCUUCGUGCCCAUCUUCAACGGGUGGUACACCACGAUGGAGAACAGCGUGCACCGGCACAAGCACCCCGAGCUCUGCGAGUUCAAAGUGAACAAGGGCUACGCGAUCCUGAGCUCCAGCAUCUCCUUCUGGAUCCCGUGCACCAUCAUGACCCUGACGUACUUCGCGAUCUUCAAGGAGGCGAACCGCCAGGAGAAGCAGAUGCACAGCAGGAUGGGGAACGCGAUGCUAUUGAGCCACCGGCCCAGCAAGGACCUGAACAACCUGAACGGGGAGCUGAACAGCGGGGGUGGGUCCUCCAAGACGCUGACCCUGAAUGAGAUCAGCACCGACAACCUGCACACCCCCACCAAGGACAAGAACAUGAUCAAGAUGAAGCGGGAGCACAAGGCCGCCAGGACCCUCGGCAUCAUCAUGGGCACCUUCAUCCUCUGCUGGCUGCCCUUCUUCCUGUGGUACGUCACCACGUCCCUCUGCGGGGAGUCCUGCCCCUGCCCGGACGUGGUGAUCGCCGUCCUCUUCUGGAUCGGCUACACCAACUCCGCCCUCAACCCCCUCAUCUACGCGUACUUCAACCGGGACUUCCGGGAGGCCUUCAAGAACACCCUGCAGUGCGCCUUCUGCUCCCUCUGCAGGCGCGAGCCCUCCGACCUGGAGGCUCUCGACUUCAGGAGGCCCUCGCUCAGGUACGACGACCGCACCAGGAGCAUCUUCUCCGAGACGUUCAAGCACAUCGACCGGCGGAGAUCGAGCGAGUUCGGGAGCAGUCUCUGAGACGAGACCAAGUUUAGGUUUUAAGCCGAACCUCGGAGAGGAGGAGCCGUCCUCCAGGUCCGCCCGCGGACCCCUGGUGUUGCCAAAUUCGAUGUUCCCAGUGUCCGCCCCUCCUGGGGCCCGGCGCGGCCCGGAGGGCCCCGAAAGAUAUCCCAUUGCCAAAGUUAGCAUGAUCAAUGUCGACUUUGAACCGGAUGUCGAUUUAAACCCUCCCAGGAAAGCAAUAAAGCGAUCGAGCUGCAUCGAUUCGCCUUCCCCGAGCGAGUUGUCGCGAUUUCCAGGCGCAUCGCCACCCAGGACCAGGCGGUGCACGCUGCACAUUCGCGAUAAGGGAUGAUAUAAGGGCGGCGUUGAGGAACGGGCGAUUUAUCAGACGCUGGCCUAGGUCAGGGAUCGGAUGUUACGGCGAUCGAGAUUUCGAGAGGUCUUUCGAUGCCAUGUCGGAGUUUUCUUGUAUAUACGCUGGUGAUAAUGAGAUCCGCGAGCUGGGGUGAAAAUUUAGAGGCGGGACCCUGACCUGGCCCAGCGACUCCUGGAUGCUGUGAUCGAGGCACGGAGAGGAACCCACCGUCUCUCAGCGGUUCUUGGGCUCUUCUCCGUCCUGGGGAUGGAUGUGAUUCUCUAGUCAUCACCUCGCCACUCGCAGGUGCUAAAUACUCUGGCAAGCUCGAUGUUCCACGUGUCAUGACGUACGUGUACUUCCGGAGCGAAAUGCUGGAUAAGCUUUCGGCCUGGAUGCUGCGCGUCCCUUGGGAUGGCCGCCCGGAUCGGGAACCGAGGGGACGAAACUCGAGCCAUGAAGAGAACUCCGAAGAGGAACUUGAAGAGGACCUCGAUGACUGACCAGCUUUCGCGAUCUGCCGACCGAAACCGUGGGCUUUCUCUCGCGGAUCCCGUAAAUGCUCCUGUUAAACGCUUUACGAGCUUUUUAUUACGUGCCGGUUAUUACGUGCCGCGCGUGCCGGGUAACGCGCAAUCUCCGCCACGGCGACACGCGGAACUUACGCGCGGCGGAUUUUCCUGCAGGUGGGAGGGAGCUUAUUGCUCUUGGGAACGUUCUGUCUUUCCUGGGUAAGCUCUCUUCGGGGUGAAAAAAUUAACUUCCUCUCCGGGUAUUAAGAAUUGAAAAUUGAAAAUUUUUAAUUGAUAAUUCAAAAUUCAGAAUUGAUAAUUCGACGACUAGGCCAUUUGCGAGAGAACACGGACGACGUUUUCGGGUCGCGGGGAAUUUCGCGAGUUUUCCUUCUCACGAUCCGAAUUUCCUUUUCUCGGCUCUCCCUCUUCCCCCUGCGGAAUUUUUCCGUCGCGUUUUCGAGGCGGUCCAGGGUCGCGGAAUCUCGUCCCCGAGGAGACUGGAAACGUCGCUGGCGACGUGUAUUUUUGUAUUUGAUUUAGCGAUUUUCCACGGGGAAGGUUCACUAUAGUGACGAGCAAAGUCGGUCCUGCACCGAGAGAAAGCAACUCAUCGAACCGAAGGAAAAUUUCUUGAAGUAGUACCAAAGAGAUAUAUUAAUUCAAAGAAUAAUUAUAAAUAAUCCAAAGAAUAUUCCAUUGAUUAGACCAGGAUUUUGCUCGUCGCUAAGGCUCGCUCAGGGAGCGACGACCGAAGAGGAGGUGAGGAAUGGUUGCGGAACGGCUGCGGAAAUUCUCCAUCCGAAGAUAAUCCCCGAUCGAGUGCGCUUUUCGCGGCCGAUGCGCAAGCGCCGAUGGCAUUUAUUUAAUUUCUCUCGCGCCGCAUUUUUCCUUUUUCCUCCCCAUACGUGGGCGACGCAGCGACAGGCCGCAGGGUUGUAAAUAACCGCGGGAGGAAUAAAUAAACCGUAGGUAGCGAUUUCUAAGGAUGAGAUUUGUCGACUGGCGGGAACCGAGGCUCGAAAUCCGCGUCCCGUCGCGAUUUCCGCACGCGGCGAGACCGCGGGAUGCGGUUUCGCCGGGCAACAUAAUCAAAAUGCGAAGAGGUCGGAUCGGAGACAGAAAUCGCAACUCUCAUGUAUCUCACGCAAUAAGGCUCGCAAAGAGCAACAAUGGAGCUGCAAUCGAGAUUUAAGGCCGAUCCAGUAACGCGGUACCUUUCAAUGAAAAAAAAAAACCCAACAUAAAGCAUUUUAAUAUUUCAGCCCCGAAGAGAAAGAGAAAAAGAGUAAACGAAAUUUGUUUUAAGUGAACCUCAAUUUUUCUUCUCAAAUAAUUGUUCCUAACAAUUAUAUGAGAUUCAGGUGAUAAUUAAUAUUUCUUUCGGUCAGCUGAUUGUUUUCCUUUUCUCUCAGGGUGGAAUAUUUAAAGCCCAGCUAUGGGGAUUGAAACGUUAAGAGGACAUUUAUCGGUAACGAGGUGUGCACCCUCUGCCCACGUAAUUGGAUCGCCGAUAAAUCCCCGGAUGCGUAAUAAUAAACCUGGGCGAUUUAUUAACUCGCUCGUAGAUUCAGCCAAAGGUAAACAUACUCGCAUAGGCGCGCAUGAAUCGAUUCGUAGAUACGAAAUAAGGGUAAUGAAGACAUGUACGCACAAUGAGAGCGAGUCUAACGGCGAGGGGUUCCCUUCUUCGAUUUCCUGGAUUUCCGCUCGAUCGGGAUCGAUCGCGCAUAUCGCGGACGCGUUAAUGGUAGAUUAAUUCGACAGCCACGAGAAAUGCCAACCGAGGCACGAAAUUACCGACUAUUGAUCGGGCCGCGUUUACAUCGUGGAUUAACCGAACGCGUCGCCGAACGCACAGAAAAAGAGAUUCAUCGAAACGACGAGAUAUUUUGUUAAUUCAAAGAAAAUAUUCCUUUGAAAGAAAUUUCCUACUCAGAGUGGGUGUUCUUGAGGAAUUAAACUGAAAAUACCCGAGUGGAGAUUUUAAUACCGCUGAAAAGAAUUUCUUAGUCAUACCGGACAAGAACCAAGGAGGAACAUAUUUCUCUAGUCGACAAUUGAAAUCUGAGUUUCAAGACCUCCAUAAUCCCGUUGAAAUUAUUAUCAUUUAAUUCUACCCAGUUUGGAGGAAAGUUUUAUAUAAAUAUUUCGAGGUUUUGAUAUAUAUAUAUAUAUAUACAUGUACAGCACCUUUCCAUAUCACCUUACAGAAGGAUUUAAAUUUCUGCUCGGACGUAACGCAAUAAUUGGAAGACACGGGUGAAAAAGAAAGAAGGUGUAGGAAAAUGGGAGAGAGGGUAAUUGGAGAUAUUAAAAAGGAAAGGAUCCGCGAAAUGGACAAGGAAGGUCUUCGUGCUCGUUUUUAGUCUACUCGCGUUUUUUGCCAAGGGGCGAGUGGAAGCGAUUUCGAUCGUUCGCCGUUAAUACGUAUUUUUACGUCUGUUUCGAGGUUCGUGAUGAAAGGUGCUUUCCCUUGGCCCCGUUCGCGGUGACAUUUCUCGGUCGAUUCUCGUUCGAGUGGAGAUUUCUCGUAUUUCGAGCGAGAGCGACGCCGUUGAACGGCCUCGUUUAACUCUCUCGUUCGACCCUCUCGUAACGGAGCCAUCUAAUUUCAGAUCACCCCCUCACAGUUGAAGGGACCCCCCUCGUCGAUUUCGGGAAAGCUCCCUCGAGAUUCGUAAAAAAAAAAAAUGAAAGAAAGAAAGAGAGACCAAUUUUACCGUCUGUCCGAUCGCAGGACUUAAUUGAUGAAUGAAACCAUAAUUUCCCACAAUUUCGAAGUGAACAACCCAUCGGUUUCCGAAAUCCGCAAGGAAGAGAAAAAGAAGAGCAAAAAAUCACCCCUUUUCAUUGAUCUCAUUUCGGAUCCCCGAAAUUUUCUACACCCCGAGAAAAUGAAAAAAGGAAUUCAUGGAACCGGAGGAACAUCUUCUUUUAGGUACCAUUGGAAGGGGUGUUUCUCUGAUUCGAGGGAUACUUUUUAAUUUCAGGGUAGGUUCGAUUAUUUCCAUUUAUCCCUCCUCCGCCCCCGUCGCAUUCGUCCGCUCACCUUUCCGAGGUGUCGAGAAGGGUGGGAAGAUCAUAUGAGAAACAUAACAAAUAUUUUAAAUGGUCAAUUGGACCUCGUCGCGACCGAUCUCGCGACGUCGUCAAGUCGUCUCACGGUUUUAUCUCGUCAGGGAAUUAAGUCACCUGUACAUACAUACGUAAUAGCCUCUCGGGGGGGCAAAAGGUUCGAGGGGAGGCGGGGGGUUGAAUUAAAAUUGACCCAACUGCGCGACACCUAGACAAUCAAGAAAGUCGUAUCGUAGUGUUAUACGAGGAAACGUGCUUAUCUCCCCGGUGGAGUCGAAAACCGCCCCUAGAGUGCAUAAACGAUCGCGAAUUAAGCGCGCCCACCCUCCACCGAGUAUGCAAAUUAAGGAAGAAAUAAACCAUGCGAGAAAACUAACCGAACGUUAAGCUGGAUGUCUUGUAAAUAGUUAAGUAUAUGAGAAAGGAUCGUCACUGUAUAGAAUUGUCACCGAUAGUAGUCGGAUGCGAUUGUAAUUUUCAAUGUUCACGGUUCUCCUUUUGUUAUGACUUAUUUAAUGAAAUGAUCGAUCGAAAUAAAGAUUGUUUUUUCGAAGAGA
rnacentral:misc_RNA from 1 species